rnacentral:lncRNA from 1 species
UUGUAGAAAAGGAAAAAUGUUUUUAUUUUUUGCCUUGUUGUGCAUUCAUUCUUUCAAAAGCCAUUUAGAGUAAAAAACAUUUUCUAUCUUCUCAUAGUAAGUAGCAACUCAGGUGCCUGAAGACCCCAUCAUAUUUUACUAACUCUCCACUCCAGAAGAGCAUCAGUUGUGUGAAGGUGAAUAGAAACCUGGUGUGUAGGCCGGGCACGGUGGGAGUUACAUUUUUGGAAUAAGACUUAAGAAAACAAACUUUCCAGGUAACACGUAGCUGGUUCCCAUCUUUCUAGCAUCUCUGCCUUUGGCUGAUGUGAUGCCAUACGUUCCUGACAGUUAAUGUCGGCUCUGUAGGGGUCUGAUGCCAAGUACAGUCAUAGCUCAGCCAUGAAAUAGGGCCUUCUAGAUAGGCCAGAUUCAGUGCCCUUCCCAACAGAUGCCUCUCCAUUCCCCACACCUCCUGACUCCACCAAAAUGAAGUGGAAGCACGUCUUGAGUUGCCCACUUCUUCUGCGUCUGG